AUUGAACGCUGGCGGCAUGCUUUACACAUGCAAGUCGGACGGCAGCACAGAGAAGCUUGCUUCUUGGGUGGCGAGUGGCGAACGGGUGAGUAAUAUAUCGGAACGUACCGAGUAAUGGGGGAUAACUAAUCGAAAGAUUAGCUAAUACCGCAUAUUCUCUGAGGAGGAAAGCAGGGGACCUUGGGGCCUUGCGUUAUUCGAGCGGCCGAUAUCUGAUUAGCUAGUUGGUGGGGUAAAGGCCUACCAAGGCGACGAUCAGUAGCGGGUCUGAGAGGAUGAUCCGCCACACUGGGACUGAGACACGGCCCAGACUCCUACGGGAGGCAGCAGUGGGGAAUUUUGGACAAUGGGCGCAAGCCUGAUCCAGCCAUGCCGCGUGUCUGAAGAAGGCCUUCGGGUUGUAAAGGACUUUUGUCAGGGAAGAAAAGGCUGUUGCUAAUACCGACAGCUGAUGACGGUACCUGAAGAAUAAGCACCGGCUAACUACGUG
rnacentral:rRNA from 1 species